UGAGGCGACUUUUGUUGUGAUUUGGCGCUAUAUAAAUAAAAUUGAAUUGAAUUGAAUUGAAUGCCCGAGGUCCUCGAGCUGUCUGCCUCUCAUCAGAUAAGCGCUGUAGCAUUAAGAAGGUGCUGUUCCAGGGCCUGUACAUAGGAACAUGCAAACAAACAUUUUUAAACAUUUGAUACAUUUGAUACUAUCAAGGUACAUAAGCUGUGUCCAGCCUACGAAUCUGCCCGACAAAUGUGUCCUGUUUAUUUCCCCAGAUUUGAAGGAUGGGUCAUUGUGCCCUUUGUGGCCCAUCAUAUCCCAGAAUUCAUAGCGCAGCCCAGCCAAUUCCAGUUUCCAACAACGGCGGCCACUAUUAAGUUUUAAUAUUACUCUUAUUAAUCUUUCUGGGUCACAAAAUAAUCGUUUAACAUAUAUAUUUUUUUAUUUUUAAACCCAUGAAAGCAUCCUUUUUUCCAGUAGCUAAAUCACAUUUUUUUUUAUCUUAAAUUGUGUUGAGUGGAAAGUUUAUAUUUCUAAUGUCAUGUGUGAUGUUCUUGUAUGUGAUUUAUUUACUCAGAAAAUCCACAAAUGUGCCUCUUUUGACAAUAAUCAUUGCAUACCUCAGUUUUAACUUUCAGUUCAGUUACAGUUCAGGGUCACCUACACGGUCUCUGCCCACCCCGAGUCCAUCACAGGGUUAAAUAAUUUUGGUCUAAUUGAGUAGGAUUGAUGUGAACUCAUCAUAAGAAGGUUAUAGGUUUAUUCUUUCAGAGGUAGUCCAGGCACUAGGACUUGGGCCCAGGAUCUUGAGCUUUUGGACUUUAAACUCUUAUUAUUACUUCUCUGUUUAAUCCUCACUGUUUCAUUCUCAGUUUAUUUCUAUUAUUAGCAUUUGAUAUUUUCUAUAUUCACCAGUGUUCUGGGCUCUCUGUUUCUGUUAGAGUUCCAUUCUGAUGUGUCAAGUUCUCUUGUGGUCAGUCCUCAUUUAGCUCCAGUUUUAGUUUGUAAUAUUUUGACCUUUGAAUCCUGACUCAAGCUUUACUUCCUGUCUGUCAUUUUCCUUAAUUAUGUUCAGCUGUGUCCAGUUCCCAAUUAGCCCUCAGUGUGUGAGAGAGUAUUUGUAGCCCUGUCUCAUAUCUUUUUAGUUAACAUGUUAGUUUAUGCUUCCUGAGAUUCUGUUGCACUUUGUUUUCCUUGCAUUUUGGACUUGAGUGGAUAUCCCAAAUAAAGCAAGUGGAGAAGAGCCUGACGAAACAGCAGAGCAACAUUUUUGAGUCAUUUAGGCUCAGUUUAGCCACCACAGAGGAAACGAUGACUUCAACAGAAAAGGACCAAAAUGGGCAAAGAUGUCAGCCCUCUCAGGAGGCUGACAAACUCCAUGGGGGAAGAAAAUACAGCUGCAAUGAGUGUGGGAAGGCUUUUACUCGAAAGGAGUCCCUAAGAAAACACACAGACAUCCACACUGGAGAGAUUCUGUUCAUCUGUGACUUGUGUGGAAAAUGUUUUACUUGCCUUGGUAACUUACAAAGACACCAACGAAUCCACAGGGGAUAUAAACCGUUUAGAUGUGACUUGUGUGGGAAGUCCUUUACUCAGCAAAGUGCCCUAAAAAAAGCAUAAAGUCUCUCACAGUGAUAUCAUAGCAUACCGUUGUGAUCAUUGUGGUUAGUGUUUUACCCAGAAAGAAGGCCUGGAAAACCACAAGCUCAUCCACAGUGGAGUUAAACCAUACAGAUGUGAUCAGUGUGGUAAAGAUUUUACUGAAAGUGGUAGCUUACGGAGGCAUGGAGUUACCCACUCUGGAAUUAAGGCGUACAGCUGUGACAUUUGUGGAAAAUCUUUCAACCAUAUAGGGAACAGAAAUAGACAAACGCAUUCACACGGGACAUGAUGUUUACAGCUGUGAUCAGUGUGGCAAGCAGUUUACAGAACAAGUACGCUUACAACGCCACAUGUUUACCCACACUGAGGAGAGACCAUAUAAAUGUGAACUGUGUGAGAAGACUUUUAAACUUUCAUGGUCCCUUAAAAGGCACCAUCAGAUCCAUACCAGGAAAAAACUCUACAAGUGCAGUUACUGUGAGAAGCAGAACAACCCAGAAGGAUACAGUUUUGAACACUGCUAUCGUUGUGGUGGUGGGAAAGCAUUUUGUUGUGACAUUUGUAGAAAACUUUUCAGCCAGGAAAGGACCCGAAAAUUACAUCAACGUAGACACACUGGACACAAAAUGAACUACUGCAAAGAAUGUGGGAGAGGCUUCCCCACUCCAAGUAAAUUACGACAUCAUGAACUUAUUCACAGUGACAUUAAAAAGUACAUCUGUGACCAGUGUGGGUCAUCCUUCACCACUGCAGGUAACCUUAAAAUGCAUAAACAAAUCCACAUGGGAGAGAAACCAUAUAAGUGUAGACACUGUGAGGAAAGCUUCUCACAUUCAAGUACUCGUCACCUUCAUGAAGGAACGCAUAAAACUACACCUGUGACUAGUGUGACAGGAGUUUGAUCUUAAAAGUAUAUUAAAAUGUAAAUAUUUUGUUUUUAUCUUUGAGGAAUUAAAUGUGGUAUAACCUCCACACACUGUCCUGCUUACCAUUAAAGUUGAGUAUUGGUAAGUGUGGCUGUGUGGUGCUUAUACUAUUUUUCUCCACAAAGAGAAGGUUCCCAAGUCUCUUUAAGAAUUAAUUUUAUUUUUUUUAAAUGCAUAAAAAUUUCCUACUGAUUUUAUUUUUAUCUUGUAUAGAACUUUUAAAUGCUUAUUCAACCUGCUGUGGUAAUCCCUACUACUUUUCACAAAACUGAUCCUGAAAGGUCAAAUGCAACGUAAGAAAAUGUUAGCGAAUGGGGAAAACUGCUGAUACAAUGGUAGAAAACAAUCAAUGUGUUUCUGGGGAGACAAUUUUGCCAACGAGCUUCAGAAGGGGAAAAAUACAAAUAAUGGGACAUAUUACACUUAAACACAUUUAGAAAGGGUGGAGAGUUAUUCAGUUCUUUGAUGGAGGGGAAGAAAUUAGCGUUUUUCAUCACAAAAUUUAUGUAGUAUUGUAGAUGUUUAAUAUUAGUGGUUUACUGUUAGCCUGUUACUUUUGCAGCUUUGCCAUUACAUGAUUGUCUUCUCACAAACGCUUCCAUUGAGACUUGUCCAGGAUGC